GGAAUGGAUGCGUUAGCCGAGACGGCGGUCAAAAAUUAAUACGUAACGAACUCGGGUGCACUACGAGAAAAUUCGUCAGGUGUCGUCACGUGGAAAUUCGUGGAAUAACUUUUGGAAAUCGGCUGUUAGGUUCCGUUGUGCUUUUCUUGUAUAGCUUGACUAGAAAAGACGGAUACUCAGCCAGCUUCGCGUGUGGUUGUCCUUUUGAGGACAGAUAUGUCUUCCACGAUGAAUCGCGAAUUCCAUGUUAGUGACGACCAGUGAAUUGUUAACAGAGAGUGUUUUCCAUUGGACGUUAAUGGUCGCCAGAAGCUACGAGUCGCGGCGACGACGUCGACUUGCUCUCAUAGUUGACAUAGGUUCCGCGAUGGGAACAUAAUUUUACCUAUGGAUAGUCGUGAUUUCACCUACAGGUGGUUGCGUGUGUCUCUUGUUCAGUCCAAAUUCCCGGAUAAUUGUGUGCUUGUAAUAAGCGGGAAUUGGAUGGAGAUGUGAAUCAUCUACUAGAUGCCGGCUGUGGCAGUAUUGUGUUGGGGUAACCAGGUUAGUAGUUACCCAGUCUUAUUUGGUUUAGACACAAAUUGUCUGUGAAAAUGACAAGUAUGGUAUUGCUAUGAGGAGAGUGAUGAGAUUGUUAAUUACUCAAUCCGGUUGCUCUAACAAAAGUCUUGUGGUUACAGAAAAGUGAAAAAUAGCGGAGCAAAGUGUAUCCUGUUGGUGAUAACUGAGGAACACUUGGUAAAGAGAAAUGCUAGCUCCGGUGUUGAUAUGUAUGACUAGUAAUAGUCGAAUUGUACCACAAGAAAUUAGACUGAGAAAUAGUUAUGGGUACUGGAGUCCGACAUGAAAAGCAAAGUAUUGUUGACCAUUUGACCAAUCAGGAAAUUUCGAGGACGAAAUUUAUUUAAGGGGGGUGGAACUGUGGGCCCCGGAAAAUUUAUCGAGCUUAAAUUGAGAUCGUUCAACAAGUUAUUUAUUUACGAUCUCGAUAAAUGUCAAGAUGCUCGAGAAAAUUUUCAGAAAUUUUCAUAAAGUGAAAUCCUCAAUUUAGGAGUUGGAUAAUAAGGUACACGUCACGACGAGUUCGUGGAAAUUUUCGAGGAAUUUUUCGGAUACCGGAGGUAAUUAUUACAAUAUUUCAAAGUUUUGACAUUUUGGAAAUCAUUUAAGAAAAUAGAAAAUGUCGUGGACCAAUCUGGGCCGUCUGUUGACUCCACCGCUUGAUCUCCACCGUUGGAUUUGAGUUGUUUGGACUAUAAAUCCCGUGGAAGGGACCAGAUUGCAUCAGAAACAUCGAGAGAGAUUGAGAGAGGUCGACCCAUUCUUGAGACUCGGCGACCCGAUCACGUGACCCGACCGGAGUGACGCCGUCCGGCCACCGAUCGACGACGCACGACCACCGAUGUCUUCCUCUCGUCAUCGUCGUCACGUCUGCGGUCUCGGACCGCCCAUGCACUCGGCGAGGAGGGAGAAUCGACGGUGAGAAGACUUGACUGCUCCGGUGAAUUUCUGCGAUUUCCGGCCUCCGUCUGGACCGCAUUCGGUAUGGAAAUUCCUCUUCUCGUCUUCCUCUAUCCGUCUGUGCAAUUAGUUUUUGAUUGGGAUUAAGUUUUGAUGGUUUCGCUCAAGUUUUAAUGAUGGGUGGUUUUGGGUGUUUUACGGGUUCUGUCGAAACCACCGUGCACGGCGGCUUUUUCUGGGCUCCUUGGUUUAAUUUCGACGUUGAUGAUGAACCUACAGCAGGAACUCGGGCUUGGUCAAUCUAAAUUUCAUCUAUUGAGAAGUGAGAUGCAAACCCGAGCGUGAUCGAAGAGUAGCAAGACUAUUAACCUGGAAACUAGAAUGCUUCCUGCAUGGAGUUUGUGUUCGCAGCAACUCAGACUUAAUCACCAUGAUUCAUGCAAUUGAGUUACCCGAGGAACGGAAGGUUCGCAACUCUCGGAGUACGUGAGAGAAAGCGUCGGAAUCCAGUAUGGAUGCAGGUACUGUGCACUGGUGACGGGACAAUGGCGGACGGAGCUGGGUGUGCAGAACAAGUUGGUAAACCCCCUUCUGGGCUUUAUCCUGAUUACUAUUUCUCGAACUUUGUGUCCUGAAACUUGUGUGAAACUAUUCUUGGGUCAAACCUAGCUAAAUUCUUAUUCCUUAAA